rnacentral:rRNA from 1 species
UACGUAGGGUGCAAGCGUUGUCCGGAAUUAUUGGGCGUAAAGAGCUCGUAGGCGGUCUGUCGCGUCGGCUGUGAAAACCCGCGGCUCAACUGCGGGCCUGCAGUCGAUACGGGCAGGCUAGAGUUCGGUAGGGGAGACUGGAAUUCCUGGUGUAGCGGUGGAAUGCGCAGAUAUCAGGAGGAACACCUGCGGCGAAGGCGGGUUGCUGGGCUGACACUGACGCUGAAGCGCGAAAGCUAGGGGAGCGAACGGG